rnacentral:lncRNA from 1 species
GCAGCAGUGAUCUCAGAGACAGACUCAGUCACAUUACACUGUCAGCCAUCAUCAUUAUUUUUACACUGGAAGGCAAGAAACUAUCAACAGUUUAUCAUGUUUACAGACAGGAACUGAACUGCUGUUAACCUCACAUCAGAGGUCACCCUCUGAGGUUUAAGUGAGAUGUUUUUACACUGUGCAUUUUGGAGAUGUGAAUUCUCCCUCUUCACACAGUAACACAGUCUUUGUCAGCAUACAAAGUGACAGACAGUUUCUCAUUUCAGUUUAGAUUAAACUCUCCGAACAUCACACACAGGUAUGUUAAUGUAAAUUGUAAAACAUGAUGACUGAGUGUUACAGUAGGACAUCUGUGAAUGUCAACACUGUUUUAUUAUCGCACUGUUGAAACAUGAAGCGUAUGUGACUGAUACUUAAUGAUGGUGCAUUGAUCUUGGUCAGAAACCAGAGAUGACUGUUCAUGGGGAUGGGGAAUAUGUUCUCAUCAUGUGCUCUCUGCCUGGAUCUGUGAAAAUCGAUACAAGAUGUAAUCUGUACUUUGGAGAAGCAAGUCGUCCAGUCUAAAGUCAACCUGUCUUAAAGAAAAGCAGCACAAAAACCAAUCAGAGGUUCUGACAGUUUUAUGUCUCAGUUGCUGAUUUUUUGAGACAUCGACUUCUUGUUCAACAAAAGGAUGCCAGCUGUGAUUACACUUUGGAAAAUGAACCCAACUCUUUAUCACCUCGCAGUGAAAGAAAGAACAUGAAAGAUAUUUUGGAGAAAGAAUCACCAACAACCAAAGUGAACUCACCAUGUACCAUGACCACAGGUAGGACAGGCUAUACAUCUAAGUAUCAUACAGAACAUUCUGAAUGUUUUCUUUAGAUUUUUACAAAAUAUACACUUUUAUUCUAAACAUUGUAGAAGAAGUCUCAAGAAAGAUAAACACAAAAUCAUGAUUUACCUUGACCACAGGUAUGACAUACAAUUCAUGUGAAUAUUAACACUGAUCAUCACACAUCACUUCUUAAAUCUUAGAUCUUAAAUAUUUCUGGUGCUUUUACAGCAGAAUUGAGUCUCAGCAGUUUCAGUGCUUCCACUUCUACCACUUCUGUCAUCUCACCAUCAGGUAAUUAAAUUACUGAUGUUUUAUUUGUGACAAUAGUUAAUAAUAAAUCAGAGCAGACAUUAAUCUCCUUUUCAGUUAGAGAUGAGAUGUGUUUGUGGUUUCCUAAACAGGAAUGAGGACACUGACUGUUGUGCUGGUCGUCGUUGGUUCUGGUGUAACUGUGGGUGCCAUCUUAUUGGUACUGGCACUUUUCAGAUCUAAAAGAAGAACUGGCGAAAUCUCAAUCAGUUAAUAUGUGAAAGUGUGCAGAUGUAUAUGAGAGUUAGAGUGUAAUAUUAACAUUUCACACUGAGUGGAUUAAUACUGACUACAGUGUCUUUUUCUUACAAGCAGUUUUGUAGUCAGAUUUGUUGUUAGAGGCUCUUCUGUUUCACAGACGUCUCACUGAAUCAGAGCUUGUCAGUUUGUAAUUAAAGGCUGUAAAGCUGAUCUGAUGCCCAACAUGACCCCAGCAGACUAACUGUCACUUCUUUAUUGCUGUUUGUUCCAGAGGGAUAUUCUCUAAAGAGGUAAGAAACCUGUUU